rnacentral:misc_RNA from 1 species
GAUGAAGAACGUAGCGAAAUGCGAUACGUAGUGUGAAUUGCAGAAUUCAGUGAAUCAUCGAAUCUUUGAACGCACAUUGCACCUCUCGGUAUUCCGGGAGGUAUGCCUGUUCGAGCGUCAUUUGUACCCUCAAGCUCUGCUUGGUGUUGGGUGUUUGUUCCGCCUCUGUGUGUGAACUCGCCUCAAAACAAUUGGCAGCCGGCGUACUUGUUUCGGAGCGCAGCACAUUUUGCGAUCCAGAUCAACGUACAGCGGCAUCCAAGAAGCCUUAUUUAACGCUCUUGACCUCGGAUCAGGUAGGGAUACCCGCUGAACUUAAGCAUAUCAACAAGCGGAGGA